AAAGCUAGGGAGCGAAUGGGAUUAGUAUACCCCAAGUAGUCCUAGCCGUAAACGAUGGAUACUAGGUGUUGUCUGUAUCGACCCGGACAGUGCCGUAGCUAACGCGUUAAGUAUCCCGCCUGGGGAGUACGCACGCAAGUGUGAAACUCAAAGGAAUUGAUGGGGGGCCCCGCACAAGCGGUGGAGUAUGUGGUUUAAUUCGAUGCAACGCGAAGAACCUUACCAGGACUUGACAUGUCGCGAAUCCAGUGGAAACACAGGAGUGCCUUCGGAGCGCGAACACAGGUGGUGGCAUGCGUGUCGUCAGCUCGUGUCGUGAGAUGUUGGUUAAGGUCCGCCAACGAGCGCACCCUCGUGUUUAGUUGCCACUCUAUUAAGUUGGGUCGACUACUAAACAAGACGUGCCGGUCGGACAAACCGGGAAGGGAAGGGUGGGGAGUGACGUCAAGUACAGCACUCGCCCUUACCGUCCGUGGCGUACACACGUACUACAAUAGGGUAGGGACGAGAGGCGACGACCGAACCCGCGGAGGGCGGACGACUAACUACCCGUAACCCUCGCCUCACGUUCAGUACG
rnacentral:rRNA from 1 species